GAUUAAGUUAUUAAGGGCGCACGGUGGAUGCCUUGGCACUAGAAGCCGAUGAAGGACGUUACUAACGACGAUAUGCUUUGGGGAGCUGUAAGUAAGCUUUGAUCCAGAGAUUUCCGAAUGGGGAAACCCAGCAUGAGUUAUGUCAUGUUAUCGAUAUGUGAAUACAUAGCAUAUCAGAAGGCACACCCGGAGAACUGAAACAUCUUAGUACCCGGAGGAAGAGAAAGAAAAUUCGAUUCCCUUAGUAGCGGCGAGCGAAACGGGAAGAGCCCAAACCAACAAGCUUGCUUGUUGGGGUUGUAGGACACUCUAUACGGAGUUACAAAGGACGACAUUAGACGAAUCAUCUGGAAAGAUGAAUCAAAGAAGGUAAUAAUCCUGUAGUCGAAAAUGUUGUCUCUCUUGAGUGGAUCCUGAGUACGACGGAGCACGUGAAAUUCCGUCGGAAUCUGGGAGGACCAUCUCCUAAGGCUAAAUACUCUCUAGUGACCGAUAGUGAACCAGUACCGUGAGGGAAAGGUGAAAAGCACCCCGGAAGGGGAGUGAAAUAGAACCUGAAACCGUGUGCUUACAAGUAGUCAGAGCCCGUUAAUGGGUGAUGGCGUGCCUUUUGUAGAAUGAACCGGCGAGUUACGAUUUGAUGCAAGGUUAAGCAGUAAAUGUGGAGCCGUAGCGAAAGCGAGUCUGAAUAGGGCGUUUAGUAUUUGGUCGUAGACCCGAAACCAGGUGAUCUACCCUUGGUCAGGUUGAAGUUCAGGUAACACUGAAUGGAGGACCGAACCGACUUACGUUGAAAAGUGAGCGGAUGAACUGAGGGUAGCGGAGAAAUUCCAAUCGAACCUGGAGAUAGCUGGUUCUCUCCGAAAUAGCUUUAGGGCUAGCCUCAAGUGAUGAUUAUUGGAGGUAGAGCACUGUUUGGACGAGGGGCUCCUCUCGGGUUACCGAAUUCAGACAAACUCCGAAUGCCAAUUAAUUUAACUUGGGAGUCAGAACAUGGGUGAUAAGGUCCGUGUUCGAAAGGGAAACAGCCCAGACCACCAGCUAAGGUCCCAAAAUAUAUGUUAAGUGGAAAAGGAUGUGGCGUUGCCCAGACAACUAGGAUGUUGGCUUAGAAGCAGCCAUCAUUUAAAGAGUGCGUAAUAGCUCACUAGUCGAGUGACACUGCGCCGAAAAUGUACCGGGGCUAAACAUAUUACCGAAGCUGUGGAUUGUCCUUUGGACAAUGGUAGGAGAGCGUUCUAAGGGCGUUGAAGCAUGAUCGUAAGGACAUGUGGAGCGCUUAGAAGUGAGAAUGCCGGUGUGAGUAGCGAAAGACGGGUGAGAAUCCCGUCCACCGAUUGACUAAGGUUUCCAGAGGAAGGCUCGUCCGCUCUGGGUUAGUCGGGUCCUAAGCUGAGGCCGACAGGCGUAGGCGAUGGAUAACAGGUUGAUAUUCCUGUACCACCUAUAAUCGUUUUAAUCGAUGGGGGGACGCAGUAGGAUAGGCGAAGCGUGCGAUUGGAUUGCACGUCUAAGCAGUAAGGCUGAGUAUUAGGCAAAUCCGGUACUCGUUAAGGCUGAGCUGUGAUGGGGAGAAGACAUUGUGUCUUCGAGUCGUUGAUUUCACACUGCCGAGAAAAGCCUCUAGAUAGAAAAUAGGUGCCCGUACCGCAAACCGACACAGGUAGUCAAGAUGAGAAUUCUAAGGUGAGCGAGCGAACUCUCGUUAAGGAACUCGGCAAAAUGACCCCGUAACUUCGGGAGAAGGGGUGCUCUUUAGGGUUAACGCCCAGAAGAGCCGCAGUGAAUAGGCCCAAGCGACUGUUUAUCAAAAACACAGGUCUCUGCUAAACCGUAAGGUGAUGUAUAGGGGCUGACGCCUGCCCGGUGCUGGAAGGUUAAGAGGAGUGGUUAGCUUCUGCGAAGCUACGAAUCGAAGCCCCAGUAAACGGCGGCCGUAACUAUAACGGUCCUAAGGUAGCGAAAUUCCUUGUCGGGUAAGUUCCGACCCGCACGAAAGGCGUAACGAUUUGGGCACUGUCUCAACGAGAGACUCGGUGAAAUCAUAGUACCUGUGAAGAUGCAGGUUACCCGCGACAGGACGGAAAGACCCCGUGGAGCUUUACUGUAGCCUGAUAUUGAAAUUCGGCACAGCUUGUACAGGAUAGGUAGGAGCCUUUGAAACGUGAGCGCUAGCUUACGUGGAGGCGCUGGUGGGAUACUACCCUAGCUGUGUUGGCUUUCUAACCCGCACCACUCAUCGUGGUGGGAGACAGUGUCAGGCGGGCAGUUUGACUGGGGCGGUCGCCUCCUAAAAGGUAACGGAGGCGCUCAAAGGUUCCCUCAGAAUGGUUGGAAAUCAUUCAUAGAGUGUAAAGGCAUAAGGGAGCUUGACUGCGAGACCUACAAGUCGAGCAGGGUCGAAAGACGGACUUAGUGAUCCGGUGGUUCCGCAUGGAAGGGCCAUCGCUCAACGGAUAAAAGCUACCCCGGGGAUAACAGGCUUAUCUCCCCCAAGAGUUCACAUCGACGGGGAGGUUUGGCACCUCGAUGUCGGCUCAUCGCAUCCUGGGGCUGUAGUCGGUCCCAAGGGUUGGGCUGUUCGCCCAUUAAAGCGGUACGCGAGCUGGGUUCAGAACGUCGUGAGACAGUUCGGUCCCUAUCCGUCGUGGGCGUAGGAAAUUUGAGAGGAGCUGUCCUUAGUACGAGAGGACCGGGAUGGACAUACCUCUGGUGUACCAGUUGUCGUGCCAACGGCAUAGCUGGGUAGCUAUGUGUGGACGGGAUAAGUGCUGAAAGCAUCUAAGCAUGAAGCCCCCCUCAAGAUGAGAUUUCCCAACUUCGGUUAUAAGAUCCCUCAAAGAUGAUGAGGUUAAUAGGUUCGAGGUGGAAGCAUGGUGACAUGUGGAGCUGACGAAUACUAAUCGAUCGAAGACUUAAUCAA
rnacentral:rRNA from 1 species